GGGCCCGCACAAGCGGAGGAGCAUGUGGUUUAAUUCGAUGAUACGCGAGGAACCUUACCCGGGCUUGAAAGUUAGUGAAUAAUUCAGAGACGAAUUAGUCCUUCGGGACACGAAACUAGGUGCUGCA
rnacentral:rRNA from 1 species